UGGAAAGGAUAAUGUACACGC
rnacentral:siRNA from 1 species